UCUGGAGCUGCGGUCCUGGGUUGAAUUCUGAGCAUGGAGUUCUGAGGUUUUUCCUGUUUCUAAAUGAGGACAUGCAGCUCUGCCCUGAAGCCCGCUAGUGGAAUUUAGAUCCGGUGUGUUUCUCUUAUGAUGUGGAUUCCUGCUGUAAAGGCCAUUUGUGAAAUCUCGUCUGGAACCUGCAUGGGUAAAGCGGUCAGAAGAGGAGCUUCUCUGAUCAGAAAAAGAAAUGAGAAACAUAUGGGAGCCCAUGAAGAUUUGCCAUUCUCUCGCUUUCUACCACCUUUCAGUGCCAGGGCCUGAGAAUACACAGACGUGGGCACAGACAGCAGGCCAGUCAUCAUUCCUAGUGAAGGAUGGCAGCAACUCUAAGGCCCCAGGCCCAUCAUGCCAUUGAGCUCUUCUUUCCAUUAUCAAAGCCACUGAAACCCAAACCCAACACUUAAGGCAAGAAACUCCUGUCUGUGAAUCGCUCGCAGGUCAUUCAAGUUUGUGGAGGAAUCCCUCAAGAAAAGGGGAGUAUGUAUUGGGAUCUAGUUUCUGAUUACUUCUAUCUGUGUAUCCAGUGGGGUGAGAAUUUGAACAAAUGAGUCAUUCUGCCACACAGAUGAGGGGGCCUGGGGUAGUUGUACACAUCUCCUCUCAGUCCUCAGGGAUAUGAGCUGGACUGUGGUGGGGAAAUAGUCACGUGAGGUAGGGGGCAGGACCCCCUAAAUAGCUCCUUUCUUAUGGCCUUUUCAGAUGAAGGAGGAAGAUGAUUAUCAGAGCACUAAAUUACAUAGUAUUUUGCCAGGUGAAUCUUUUAAAGAUUGGUUUAGAUAAUUAAAAAGAUGGAAUUUAAUAUUGGGUCAUUAGGAGCACAUCUCUUAAGUUAAAGAGUGGCAAUUAUCCAUGUGGUUCAGGCAGAAGUUCUAGAUCAUUUGAAGCAAAUGGAGAAUUUUUCUCAUUGUAAUUGGGAAACAGCUUCCCCCUAAGGGCCCAAAGGGUCACAAAAAUUAGAAUAAUUUAACUAGAAGGCCUCUAAAUGAUGUUUUUCCCAAUUGAAGGAUACUAUGUAUUUGUCUAAGGCACACAGUAUGUUAUGGGGUUGCAGUUAAUGGGGAAAAACAUUUUUAUGUGUUUUACUUUUAGAUGUAGAUGUCGAACAAAACAAUACUCUCAAAACCCAUAACUCACUUGAUGGCCUUAGUAUUAAAGCAUAUCUAGUCUUCCAAGUCUCCUUUUAAAAUAAGAGAUUAGAGGAAGUAGGACUUGGGUAAGAAUAUUGUGACAUUCUUUCCAAGGAAAUUUCGUUCACAUUGGUGUUUUCAGUUUUCCCACAAUGUGUAUUUUAAUGCUUAAA